rnacentral:rRNA from 1 species
CCUACGGGUGGCAGCAGUGGGGAAUAUUGGACAAUGGGGGGAACCCUGAUCCAGCCAUGCCGCGUGUGUGAAGAAGGCCCUCGGGUUGUAAAGCACUUUCAGUGAGGAAGAACGCCUGGUGGUUAAUACCCAUCAGGAAAGACAUCACUCACAGAAGAAGCACCGGCUAACUCCGUGCCAGCAGCCGCGGUAAUACGGAGGGUGCGAGCGUUAAUCGGAAUUACUGGGCGUAAAGCGCGCGUAGGUGGCUUGAUAAGCCGGUUGUGAAAGCCCCGGGCUCAACCUGGGAACGGCAUCCGGAACUGUCAAGCUUGAGUGCAGGAGAGGAAGGUAGAAUUCCCGGUGUAGCGGUGAAAUGCGUAGAGAUCGGGAGGAAUACCAGUGGCGAAGGCGGCCUUCUGGACUGACACUGACGCUGAGGUGCGAAAGCGUGGGUAGCAAACAGGAUUAGAUACCCUGGUAGUC